rnacentral:rRNA from 1 species
GUAGCUGGUCUGAGAGGAUGAUCAGCCACACUGGGACUGAGAUACGGCCCAGACUCCUACGGGAGGCAGCAGUGGGGAAUAUUGGACAAUGGGGGCAACCCUGAUCCAGCAAUGCCGCGUGAGUGAUGAAGGCCUUAGGGUUGUAAAGCUCUUUUACCAGGGACGAUGAUGACGGUACCUGGAGAAUAAGCCCCGGCUAACUUCGUGCCAGCAGCCGCGGUAAUACGAAGGGGGCUAGCGUUGUUCGGAAUUACUGGGCGUAAAGGGCGCGUAGGCGGCCGAUCAAGUCAGAUGUGAAAGUCCUGGGCUUAACCUGGGGACUGCAUUUGAUACUGAUUGGCUUGAAUUCGGGAGAGGAUAGCGGAAUUCCCAGUGUAGAGGUGAAAUUCGUAGAUAUUGGGAAGAACACCGGUGGCGAAGGCGGCUAUCUGGACCGACAUUGACGCUGAGGCGCGAAAGCGUGGGGAGCAAUCAGGAUUAGAUACCCUGGUAGUCCACGCCGUAAA